UACGUAGGGGGCAAGCGUUGUCCGGAUUUAUUGGGCGUAAAGAGCGUGUAGGCGGCCAUACAGGUCCGUUGUGAAAACUGGAGGCUUAACCUCCAGACGUCGAUGGAAACCGUAUGGCUAGAGUCCGGAAGAGGAGAGUGGAAUUCCUGGUGUAGCGGUGAAAUGCGCAGAUAUCAGGAAGAACACGCGUGGCGAAGGCGGCUCUCUGGGACGGUACUGACGCUGAGACGCGAAAGCGUGGGGAGCGAACAGG
rnacentral:rRNA from 1 species